UCUACAGGCAGCUCCUCCGGGACCACAAAUCCCGAGUCCCGUAGUCUCAAACGCGCCGCCCGGCCGUGGGGUCCCCAUGCCGGAAGCGGAGACACAGGCCGCGCCAGCCCGAGGGCCCAUGUCGCGGGUGGGAAGCACCGUGGAGCCCCGUUGGGGUGGCGCUCUCCGCGCACUCACUUCCGCGGCGCUGCAGGCCGCGAGGAGCUCAGGGUCCGCUCGCUUCGCCUCCACGCACCCCUACUUUGCCCUGCACCGUCCUGCCCGGGCGGUCCCCUCACUCCCACAGCAGCCGCUGGCCAGGCCAGUCGUCCCACCCGCGUUGGGAGAUUUCAGGUUCUCACCGAGAUCCCCGGGGUCCAGAGACCGGAAGAAAUUAAAAGUCCCGGUCACAACCCCUACAAGGGCCAGAUCACUGGUUACCUGGGCAAUGGCCCCAGCCUCGCGAGACCUCGAAGAGAUCCCGCGAGACUUCGGGCAGCCUUCGCGAGACUUCGGGCAGCCCAGCAGACUAAUCCAAUGACUACCGUAAGGUUGUAGACGUAGAACGGGGGAUCCCUGAGGUGGACAAAACUCGAGGAUGCUUUGCACCCUCUUGGAACUCUACCAGAAGAAGACCAUCACCAGAAGAUGUCCCUUGACCUUGUACCUGCAGAAACAUGAACCAAACUAAGCCACUUCUCUUAAGCACACUGUGGUAUUAUGCACUUGGCAACAGAAAAUAGACUAAGACAAUAUUUUUAUAUGGAAUCUAUUUUUCUGUUGGACUUUAGUCUGACCUGAUAGGAGGUCAGAUGCACAAGUGAAGCUCCUAGAAAUAAUCUAACUGGUUAUACAAGAAGUAAAUGGCAAAGCUAGGACUUAGUCUCACUUUUAGUCCAAAUACUUACAUUAUCAUAUGUCAAAAAUCUUUUUAGAGAAAAAUUGUCUUACUGUAUAAUAAAACUACUUUGGUAUUUACAA